GGGUGAGAGCCCCGUACGGUUGGCCGCCUAGCCUGUGUAAAGCUCCUUCGACGAGUCGAGUAGUUUGGGAAUGCUGCUCUAAACGGGAGGUACACCCCUUCUAAAGCUAAAUACCGGCCAGAGACCGAUAGCGCACAAGUAGAGUGAUCGAAAGAUGAAAAGCACUUUGAAAAGAGAGUCAAACAGCACGUGAAAUUGUUGAAAGGGAAGCGCUUGUGGCCAGACCUGUCCCGGCAGCUCAGCCGUCCCUCGUGGGCGGUGCACUCUGCCGGGUGCAGGCCAGCAUCAGCUCGUGGCGGGGGAGAAAGGCGGCGGGAACGUGGCUCUUCGGAGUGUUAUAGCCCGCCGCUACGCCCCACCGCGGGCUGAGGUUCGCGCUCCGCAAGGAUGCUGGCGUAAUGGCCAUCAGCGACCCGUCUUGAAACACGGACCAAGGAGCGGUCCUAACAUGCGAGUGUUCGGGUGCAAAACCCCUACGCGGAAUGAAAGUGAAGGAGGUAGAGCUUCGGCGCAUCAUCGACCGAUC
rnacentral:rRNA from 1 species